AGGCCUAUAGCUCAGUGGCAGAGUAUUUGCUUUGCAUGCAGAAGGUUCCAGGUUCAAUUCCCUGUACCUCCAGGUAGGGCUU